UACGUAGGGUGCGAGCGUUAAUCGGAAUUACUGGGCGUAAAGCGUGCGUAGGCGGUUCGUUAAGUUCGUUGUGAAAGCCCCGGGCUCAACCUGGGAAUGGCAAUGGAAACUGGCGGGCUGGAGUAUGGCAGAGGGGGGUGGAAUUCCGCGUGUAGCAGUGAAAUGCGUAGAGAUGCGGAGGAACACCGAUGGCGAAGGCAGCCCCCUGGGCCAAUACUGACGCUCAGGCACGAAAGCGUGGGG
rnacentral:rRNA from 1 species